rnacentral:sRNA from 1 species
AUGUAACGCGUUAAGGAUUGAAGCGGCAUCCUUUUUAUGCUGUUUUUCACAGCUUUAAAAGAUAUAGCUGAAAGCCUGGUGGUGA